rnacentral:rRNA from 1 species
CCUACGGGAGGCUGCAGUGGGGAAUAUUGGACAAUGGGGGGAACCCUGAUCCAGCCAUGCCGCGUGUGUGAAGAAGGCCCUCGGGUUGUAAAGCACUUUCAGUGAGGAAGAACGCCUGGUGGUUAAUACCCAUCAGGAAAGACAUCACUCACAGAAGAAGCACCGGCUAACUCCGUGCCAGCAGCCGCGGUAAUACGGAGGGUGGGAGCGUUAAUCGGAAUUACUGGGCGUAAAGCGCGCGUAGGUGGCUUGAUAAGCCGGUUGUGAAAGCCCCGGGCUCAACCUGGGAACGGCAUCCGGAACUGUCAAGCUAGAGUGCAGGAGAGGAAGGUAGAAUUCCCGGUGUAGCGGUGAAAUGCGUAGAGAUCGGGAGGAAUACCAGUGGCGAAGGCGGCCUUCUGGACUGACACUGACACUGAGGUGCGAAAGCGUGGGUAGCAAACAGGAUUAGAUACCCUAGUAGUC